GUGGCCAGCAGCCGCGGUAAUACCGGCAGCCCAAGUGAUGGCCACUCUUAUUGGGCCUAAAGCGUCCGUAGCCGGCCUCGCAAGUCCGUCGGGAAAUCCAGUAGCUCAACUACUGGGCGUCCGGCGGAAACUACAAGGCUUGGGACCGGAAGGCUCGAGGGGUACGUCCGGGGUAGGAGUGAAAUCCCGUAAUCCCGCACAGACCACCGAUGGCGAAAGCACCUCGAGAAGACGGCUCCGACGGUGAGGGACGAAAGCCAGGGUCUCGAACCGGAUUAGAUACCCUGGUAGUCC
rnacentral:rRNA from 1 species